ensembl:lncRNA
GUCACCCACUCCCCUUCACUUCUCUCAAGUCUCCUGGUUUAUUUUUUCAAACUCAAGCAGAUUUUGCCCUCUGCUCUAUUAAUCUGUUUUCAUGUUAAAAAAAAAUGUGUUAAAUGACUUGCCAAUCCAAUGACUGAUCCACUCUCAUUCUCCACCCCAAGUUGCUGAGUCUGUAGAGCCUGGGGGACAUCCUCUUUGGCUCCAUCUACCCCCAGUCCUGCAGGGGUGUGAGCCCCGGGCAGGGAUGUCCAGGUCAGCCCCGCGCAAGGCGGGCAGGUGACCUCAAGGUUGGGAAGAAAACAUGCACAGUAGCCCAUUUCUGUGAAGGACUUGGAGCUUGGAAGAGACACCCAAUCCUCUAUCUGUAGCCCGCCCUCCGCUUGGAAUGAAGACCACAGCUGUGUCCUGAGCCUCGAGGCUGGCCUCACAGGCCCAGAAGAAAGGUGGUGUUUCCCCUGGUGUCUCUCAAGCAUGAAGCUGUUUUGGAGCGGGAGUCUCCACGUCUGCAUCAGGCUGCCUGGCGAGCGGGAGGAAUUUGAACACAGCCUGGGUUCCCGCACGCAGUUCAUGACUGCAAAGGGCUUCCUCUUCGAAAUCCAGCCCAAAUGGGCACACUCAAGAAAUGCGGCAGCUUCAGAGAACGUGACCCAGUUAAGUCCCUUCUACUGGUUCUUCCUUCAGCCUCACCUUCUCCAUCAGGGGUGGCCGGCUUUCCAGGGCUUGCCUGACAACAAUCAGCUCUGCUCACAGCACCCCAGGCGGGGCUGAACAGAGACCCUUUGUAGUAUUUGCUGGAAAAGCAAGAGGAAACUUCAGCCAAGGACCAGCUUCUUCUCCCCCUUAUGUAAGAGUUAGUGUUGCUCAUGCCAGUGAAGUCAUGCAGAAAGUCGGCAUGGGCGAGGGCUGACUCCAGUGGGAAUGGUCUCACCGGAACCCCCUUGGAACACAGAGGUGGAGACAGAGACAGGCAGGGAUGGGUCAGUGGGCCCCUCGGACACAGUUCAGCUUCUGACACACUCACGAGCCAACUUUAACACGCUUGCUUGGUUCUCAUAGCACUCAGUCUGGAUGCCAUGGACGGGGGUGGGGGGCACAUCUGCCUCCCCGCCCUCAUCUCAGCACCCUGGCCAUGCGCCCUCUUUUCUGCUCCUCCAACACACUCAGCCUUUUCAACCCCAGGGCCUUUGCACACCCUGCUACUUGAACACCACUUCCCCCAGUUCCUUUCCUCCCAUCCUUCAGGCUUCUGUGCCAGCAGUCCACCCCGAAGGGCUCUUCUCUGACCCAUCACUUCCUCUCUCCUUACUUAUACCAGAUCAUCCCUCUGUCUCCCCUUCGCCCUGCUUUCUUUAGAGGACACUGGAGUCUGUAUCUGCAUGUCCCAUGUCUCCCACACAGAAGACGAUAAUCAUUACGAGGGCAGGGAUUAUCCAUCUUGUUCUCCCCUGUGCCUCCAGCCCAAAGAACAGUACCCAGCACAUAGUAGGUGCUCAGUAAAUAUUUAGCAAAAGAAUGAAUUAAAAUAUCAGUAUAUUCCACACAACUCUGAUCCCUCAUUUUUGGAUUCGGCAAUCUUUCUGGAAGGAAGUAAAAUAAUAUAUAUUCCUGGGUUUAUCUAGACCCAAUAAAAGGGGGAAAAAAAAAAAAGUUCUUAAAUCUCUUGGAAACACCAAACUCCCGACGUAAGCAAAAGAACCUGCAGGUUGAGUUCCAAGAUAUGAGACCUGGCUGGUCACUGAACGUACG